rnacentral:lncRNA from 1 species
AUUUAAAAAGGUUUAAAAAAUGUCUGAAAAUACUUUACAAAUUCGAAAUAUUUAUUUGUGACCUAAAUUGUAAUUUUCCUUUAGUUCUACUUAAUUUGUUCAGUCUCUCUCCAUCCAUAGAGCAUCACCCGUGCGCCUUGGCCAUUACGUUUUCUGGUAAUUUUCAAUUAAAACGUUUAUAGAUAAUCAAUUAAUAAUUUUUAAGCCACUUUGGCAGCCAUGCACUGCAGCAGCCGUGCCGCAGUCUGCUGUCCAAGCUGAGUCAGCCGCAACUCCACGCUCAACGAUUCGCUCAAUUAGGUGCUAAGACAUUUUGGCUGGCAAAAGACUGAGGGGAAUGGAAUGACUGCAGUUGGGGGAUUUUCGCAGUGCAGUUGAUCAUAUUUAUUGGCUUUGCGAUUAGGCUUGGCGGAGCUCGAAUCGAGCUGGCUGGCUGGCUGGCUGGCUGGCUGGCUGGCGUCUUGCCGCUGGCCUAAUUGGGGGGACUCGACUCAGAGAUCUAAACUUGAAUAUUGAUGACGAUGUCGGAUCGUACAAAAAACACAAAUUCAAUGUCUGUGUGUGUUUUUGUUAUGGGGAAUAUUGCUACUUU